GUGGUUGUAGUUUAAUGGUUAGAAUACUGGUUUGUGACACCGGUGAUGUUGGGUUCGACUCCCACCAGCCACACCA
rnacentral:tRNA from 1 species